GACGAACGCUGGCGGCGUGCUUAACACAUGCAAGUCGAGCGGUAAGGCCCUUUCGGGGGUACACGAGCGGCGAACGGGUGAGUAACACGUGGGUGACCUGCCCUCAGCUCUGGGAUAAGCCCGGGGAACUGGGUCUAAUACCGGAUAUGACUCCAUGACGCAUGUUGUGGGGUGGAAAGCCUUGUGCGGCUGAGGAUGGGCCCGCGGCCUAUCAGCUUGUUGGUGGGGUGAUGGCCUACCAAGGCGACGAC
rnacentral:rRNA from 1 species